ensembl:snoRNA small nucleolar RNA SNORA49
CCUCCCCUUCCUUACUCCAGCCGCUCUGUCCCCAGUAGUGUGGUCUGGCAUUGACAGGGGAUACAGCACUCUGGCACUCUCACCUCUUAUUUAGGAAACUCAUCUUACAUAGGGCGUGUGAGGGAGCUGACAAU